rnacentral:rRNA from 1 species
UACGUAGGGGGCGAGCGUUGUCCGAAGUUACUGGGCGUAAAGCGCACGUAGGCGGUUCGUUAUGUCGGAUGUGAAAGCCCUUGGCUUAACCGAGGAAGUGCAUCCGAAACUGGCGAGCUAGAGUACGAAAGAGGAUCGCGGAAUUCCUGGUGUAGCGGUGAAAUGCGUAGAUAUCAGGAGGAACACCGGUGUGUAGACGGCUCUCUGGACCGUAACUGACGCUGAGGCACGAAAGCGUGGGGAGCG